rnacentral:tRNA from 1 species
GGGAAGGUGGCUCAGUGGUAGAGCACUUGCCUUGCAUGCCUGAGGCCCUGGGUUCAAUUCCUCAGCAGUACUG